rnacentral:rRNA from 1 species
GAUGAACGCUGGCGGCGUGCCUAAUACAUGCAAGUCGAGCGAACGGACGAGAAGCUUGCUUUUCUGAUGUUAGCGGCGGACGGGUGAGUAACACGUGUAUAACCUCCCUAUAAUACUGGUAUAACUUCGGGAAACCGGCGCUAAUACCGGAUAAUAUUUUGAACCGCAUGGUUCAAAAGUGAAAGACGGUCUUGCUGUCUCUUAUAGAUGGAUCCGCGCUGCAUUAGCUAGUUGGUAAGGUAACGGCCUACCAAGGCAACGAUGCAUAGCCGACCUGAGGGGGUGGUCGGCCACACUGGAGCGGGGACACGGUCCAUACUCCUACGGGAGGGAGCAGUAGGGAAUCGUACGCAAUGGGCGAAAGCCUGACGGAGUAACGCCGCGUGAGUGAUGAAGGUCUUCGGUUCGUAAAACUCUGUUAUUAGGGAAGAACAUAUUUGUAAGUAACUGUGCACAUCUUGACGGUACCUAAUCAGAAAGCCACGGCUAACUACGUG